UGCCUUAGUAACGGCGAGUGAAGCGGCAACAGCUCAAAUUUGAAAGCUGGCCCUUUUAGGGUCCGCAUUGUAAUUUGUAGAGGAUGAUUCGGCGAGGGCUCCUGCCUAAGUCCCCUGGAACGGGGCGUCAUAGAGGGUGAGAAUCCCGUAUGCGGUAGGUUGCCUUAGCCAUGUGAAUCUCCUUCGACGAGUCGAGUUGUUUGGGAAUGCAGCUCUAAAUGGGAGGUAAAUUUCUUCUAAAGCUAAAUACCGGCCAGAGACCGAUAGCGCACAAGUAGAGUGAUCGAAAGAUGAAAAGCACUUUGGAAAGAGAGUUAAAAAGUACGUGAAAUUGUUGAAAGGGAAGCGCUUGCAACCAGACUUGUCCGCAGUUGCUCAGCCGGUCUCCUGACCGGCGUACUCUUCUGCGGCCAGGCCAGCAUCAGUUCGGGCGGUCGGAUAAAGGCCUCGGGAAUGUGGCUCCUCUCGGGGAGUGUUAUAGCCCGGGGUGCAAUGCGGCCAGCCUGGACUGAGGAACUCGCUUCGGCAAGGAUGCUGGCGUAAUGGUUGUAAGCGGCCCGUCUUGAAA
rnacentral:rRNA from 1 species